rnacentral:rRNA from 1 species
UAGUCUCGCACAGAUGCAUAUCAAUAAGCGGAGGAAAAGAAACUAACAAGGAUUCCCUCAGUAACGGCGAGUGAAGCGGGAAGAGCUCAAAUUUGAAAUCUUGCAAGGUUUACCUUUCACGAAUUGUAGUUUAAAGAAGUGUUUUCUGUUACGAUUUGGUAAUAAGUUCUUUGGAAUAGGACAUCAUAGAGGGUGAGAAUCCCGUAUGAUUGACCGAUUAUUGUCAGCUGUGUGAUACACUUUCAAAGAGUCGGAUUGUUUGGGAAUGCAGUCCAAAAUGGGAUGGUAAAUUUCAUCUAAGGCUAAAUAUUGGCGAGAGACCGAUAGCGAACAAGUACCGUGAGGGAAAGAUGAAAGGAACUUUGAAAAGAGAGUUAAACUAGUACGUGAAAUUGUCAGAAGGGAAGCGUUUAACACCAGUGUUGUUUCCUGAAAAUCAACCUCUGUUAGCUUUAUGCAUGUUUGUUUAGACCUAAUCAGCUAUCUUGCAUGUUCUAUUGUUUGCAGUGGUGCACUUUUCAGUUUACAGGUCAACAUCAGUUUUUUUUACCGUAAAAAAGUUAAAGAAAGGUAGCUCAUGGCUCCGGUCGUGAGUGUUAUAGUCUUUUUCCUAUGCGGUAGGAGAGACUGAGGUCUGCAGUGUAGGCUAUUUGGCUAGAUACUCAGGUGCUAUGUGAUACCAUUUCAUAAACAACUUGUUGAUUAUGUUUUGUCUAUUGCAUACUCGCUUGUACUAUCAUACCUACGCUUAGGAUGUUGAAGAUGUAGCACAUCAU